AGUACGGUCGCAAGAUUAAAACUCAAAGGAAUAGACGGGGACCCGCACAAGCGGUGGAGCAUGUGGUUUAAUUCGACGAUACACGAAGAACCUUACCUGGACUUGACAUAGUAAGAACUUUCUAGAGAUAGAUUGGUGUCUGCUUGCAGAAACUUAUAUACAGGUGCUGCACGGCUGUCGUCAGCUCGUGUCGUGAGAUGUUGGGUUAAGUCCCGCAACGAGCGCAACCCUCGUCAUUAGUUGCUAACAGUUCGGCUGAGAACUCUAAUGAGACUGCCUACGCAAGUAGGAGGAAGGUGAGGACGACGUCAAGUCAUCAUGGCCCUUACGUCCAGGGCUACACACGUGCUACAAUGGGGUAUACAAAGAGCAGCAAUACGGUGACGUGGAGCAAAUCUCAAAAAUAUCUCCCAGUUCGGAUUGUAGUCUGCAACUCGACUACAUGAAGUUGGAAUCGCUAGUAAUCGUAGAUCAGCUAUGCUACGGUGAAUACGUUCCCGGGUCUUGUACUCACCGCCCGUCACACCAUGGGAGUUGAACUCAUUCGAAGCGGGGAUGCUAAGAUAGCUACCUUCCACAGUGGAUUCAGCGACUGGGGUG
rnacentral:rRNA from 1 species